UAGAGGAUAGAUCUUGCAGGUUAAAUCUGAUGUAAACAAUGGAGAAUAUAGCAAUAUUUCUUGGAUUUAACACUUUUGUGGACAAACAGUUUUUCACUGGACACUUUCUUUAACAACUUACACAAGUGUGACGGGUUGGAUUCAUCUCGCGAUUGAUUUUUCAUAAUAAAGGACAGCGCGGACCAGAUUGGGUGAUGGACACGAGGUCUCUGCUGACACUGUCAGUGUUGUUCGUUCUCAUAAGGGGGAACAAGGGACAGAAACCA